AAGGGUUCUGGUCCAUAUUUCUGCUCCCGCUGGGUGUUGUCGUGGUUCUUAGUUUGAAUGUUACAGCCGUCCUCAUUUACGUCAUCAAGAAAAACAAGUGUGAUAAUUGCAAUAAUGAAGCGGCUGCUUCGUUGCAAGAAAAUUUUGCAAAAGGGAAUUUCAAGAGGAAUGAAGACACGUGGACUUAUUCUACUGCCGUCUUCACCGUGAUGAAGUCUGGUGGAAGGAGGCGCGCAGAGGGAGCGCAGAGGGAGCGCAUCCACGCUGCUGCCAAGGCCUCCGGGUCGGAUUAGCAUGUUUCCUCAGUGAGAUCAGCUGGUACCGCGUGUGAUGGAAGUCCAGAGGCUGUUAUAUGUGGCCGAUACGCAGUGAUUUGAUGCAUGGUAUGAGAUGAAAAAAGCAACAACACACGGAUGAAUCCACUGACAGGCUGUCGUGGGCUCGACAGCCUGUCAGUGGAUUCAGCCAGAAAGAACCAUCUGCAACUUGAAAAAUAUCCCUUUUAGUUUUAAUAUGAGAGGAUAAAAUGCUUUGUUUUUUUAAAAGUUCCCACUUCAUCAAUUCACUGCAAACAUCCAUCUGCAGUGUGACAUCAGCACUGAAGGUCAAACCCAUCAAGAGAAACUGCACAGGAGUCUGCAGAUGAUUCUUCUUCUCACAUGAAGUUUACUUUUCUUCUCUUUCUACUUUACUAAUUAUGGUCUGGUGUUUGUGUCAGGUUUUUUUUCUCCCCACAAAAGGUUUAGAUUGAUCACGACUAAUCUUUUGUCUCUUUAACCUGUAAUGUGCAAGU